rnacentral:snRNA from 1 species
GUUUUGGCAGCACACAUACCAUACUAAGAGACUGAAACAAUAUAGGGAAGAUUAGCAUGGUGCUGUGCAAGGAUGACUUGCAAACUCCUGAGGCAGUCCGUACUAAA